AGUUUAUUCUCGAGUACAGAGGAGAACUAUGUAAACAGCAGUCUGAUGGUGAUGAAAUGUUCAAAUACCAUUUCAGACAUAACAACAAGGAAUACUGCAUCGAUGCCUCAAAAGAAACGUGUCUGGCAUGCAUGGUCAACGACUUGGACCGAUACACAAAGCCUAAUUGCAAAAUGGUUAAAGUUGUUGAUGACAGACAUCAACCAAGACUCUGUCUGUAUGCAACUGAAAUGAUCAGCAAAGACACUGAAUUGAGGUACGAUUAUGGUGUUGCUGAUGUACCUUGGAGAAAGCGAAAGAUGCUGUUAAAGAUGGUCAUACAGCUGCAGAUACUACAGAGGUCACAGAAACAUCUGAAGAUGCCCUCGGUGAAUCAGCAGAAGUCUUGGAACAUGCUUAUCAUGAUGCUGUAGGGAACAGUGGGACAGUUGCCCCAUCCACAGUUGCCCCAUCCACAGUUGUCUCUGAACAUGCUGAAGGGCCGCCUCAAGAUGCUGUUAAAGAUGGUCAUACAGCUGCAGAUACUACAGAGGUCACAGAAACAUCUGAAGAUGCCCUCGGUGAAUCAGCAGAAGUCUUGGAACAUGCUUAUCAUGAUGCUGUAGAAAUCAGAGGGAUAGUUUACCAUCCACAGUUGUCUCUGAACAUGCUGAAGGGCCGCCUCAAGCAAUGUUCAAGAUUUGACCCAGGAGCAGCUACAGUAUUAUGGUUGAUCAGAGUGAGAGGCAUCUGCGGAAAAUAUUUGGAGGAUAUAUUCUCUGCGAGAGACAUAUUGCAUUCAAG